rnacentral:rRNA from 1 species
AUUGAACGCUGGCGGCAGGCCUAACACAUGCAAGUCGAGCGGAUGAGGGGAGCUUGCUCCUGGAUUCAGCGGCGGACGGGUGAGUAAUGCCUAGGAAUCUGCCUGGUAGUGGGGGAUAACGUCCGGAAACGGGCGCUAAUACCGCAUACGUCCUGAGGGAGAAAGUGGGGGAUCUUCGGACCUCACGCUAUCAGAUGAGCCUAGGUCGGAUUAGCUAGUUGGUGGGGUAAAGGCCUACCAAGGCGACGAUCCGUAACUGGUCUGAGAGGAUGAUCAGUCACACUGGAACUGAGAUACGGUCCAGACUCCUACGGGAGGCAGCAGUGGGGAAUAUUGGACAAUGGGCGAAAGCCUGAUCCAGCCAUGCCGCGUGUGUGAAGAAGGUCUUCGGAUUGUAAAGCACUUUAAGUUGGGAGGAAGGGCAGUAAGUUAAUACCUUGCUGUUUUGACGUUACCAACAGAAUAAGCACCGGCUAACUUCGUG